rnacentral:tRNA from 1 species
UGGGUUGUGGCUCAGUGGUAGAGCACUCGCCUUGUAUGUGUGAGACCUGGGUUCAGUCCUCAACACCACAU